rnacentral:lncRNA from 1 species
GCGGAGGUGGUGGAGGGAAUAGUGGAACGUCUGGAGAUGGCGGAGGGGAUGGUGGAGGAGGUGGUGGAACGAUCGGAGACGGAUAAGGAAAUGGUGCAGAAGGCGGUGGAGGGGGUGGAGGGGAUGGUGGAGUAGGUGGUGGAAUGGCUGGAGACGGAUAAGGAGAUGGCUCGGAAGGUGGUGGAGGGGGCGGAGACGGAGAUGGUGCAGAAGGUGGUGGAGGGGGAGAAGUAGAUGGAGGAGGUGCAGAAGGUGGUGGAGGGGGAGAAGGGGAUGGAGGAGGUGGUGGAAUGGCUGAAGAUGGGGGAGUGGGCAGAGGGAAUGGUGGAGGAGGUGGUUGAACGGCCGGAGAUGGAUAAGGAGAUAAUACAAAAGAUAAUUCCUUCGUCGGAUAAGAAGCCAAUGAAUUAAUGGCACAAACACCAUAUGGCAAAUCACCGUUUCUUCUUAUAUAUCCAUACCCCUCCACUCCCCAUGAUGUACCCCAUGAAUUCUUGAUUAUCCAGUAGUCAU